rnacentral:lncRNA from 1 species
UUUUUGGCAGAACACUGUGUCGAAGGAUAAGAAGAAAGAUGAACACACUGCAAAUCCUAAAAUCAUCAAAUGCCCCGUUAUUAUGAGUUUACUUCUUUUUUAAAAAAAAAAACUAAAACCACAACCCAUUAAUGUUUCCACAAGUUUUUAAUUUCUAACAAACAACACAUGGACCAUUAUUACUAAUCACCUCAUGAUUCAAUAAAACUUUGCAAUGUCCAUGAAACGGAGAAGAUGCAGUAAACGAACAUGAGACAACACCAAACCAAAUAUAAGACACUCAAAAAUAAUUAAGCUAAAAGCAAAUGAAAUAUACAAAGCAAAAGGGAAAAUAUUUACAAGAAACUAAACAGAAAAAUAAAUCAAAGCAUUAAUUAAUAGACAUUCCAACUAAAACAAGCUUAAUACCAUUGAAAUAGAAGAUGGAGAAACAGACCUACCUCAAACCAAACUUUAUUUACGAGGAAAAUUCAAGCAAAGUUUUGUACAUAUAUGAUGAUUGUUCAGCUGUCAAAGACCAAAACAGCAAUCAUUUUGGAGCCAAAAACGCGAACAGGAUUUCGAACCGGAACUAUAGCGUCACUCAAAACAUCGACCAAAUUUCGGCAAAUUUUCAGCUGGAUUUAGAGGUCCCACGGCAGACUGGUUUUUGUUAUUUUGCUGAGUUUUCGAAGGUGAAAGGAGAUGGCUAGAGAUGGUAAAAUUAUGGCAAAACGCUGGCAGGAAUGAGCUAGUAAAAAAUGAUUUUAUGGCUUUAAAUAGACUGGUUUUUAGAAGCGGAACAUAGCUUGAUUAAUGCGAUGCUGUAAUAGCUGCUUUGUGUACUACAUUGGAGUCACGUUCAUGGAGUUCAGGUGGUUUAAUAGAGGAAAAAUGAUAGGUUUAUACAAUCAAAUCUAAUCUUAUGAAGAAUAGAGGAAAUUGCGGUGCAUUUCUUUGUCCAGC